GAUGAACGCUGGCGGCGUGCCUAAUACAUGCAAGUCGAGCGUACAGACGAGGAGCUUGCUCCUCUGACGUUAGCGGCGGACGGGUGAGUAACACGUGGAUAACCUACCUAUAAGACUGGGAUAACUUCGGGAAACCGGAGCUAAUACCGGAUAAUAUAUUGAACCGCAUGGUUCAAUAGUGAAAGACGGUUUUGCUGUCACUUAUAGAUGGAUCCGCGCCGCAUUAGCUAGUUGGUAAGGUAACGGCUUACCAAGGCAACGAUGCGUAGCCGACCUGAGAGGGUGAUCGGCCACACUGGAACUGAGACACGGUCCAGACUCCUACGGGAGGCAGCAGUAGGGAAUCUUCCGCAAUGGGCGAAAGCCUGACGGAGCAACGCCGCGUAAGUGAUGAAGGUCUUCGGAUCGUAAAACUCUGUUAUUAGGGAAGAACAAAUGUGUAAGUAACUAUGCACGUCUUGACGGUACCUAAUCAGAAAGCCACGGCUAACUACGUG
rnacentral:rRNA from 1 species